rnacentral:rRNA from 1 species
UGCGAUCAUACGAGCACUAAAGCACCGGAUCCCAUCAGAGCUGCGAAGUUAAGCGUGCUUGGGCGANAGUAGUACUAGGAUGGGUGACCUAUUUGGGAAGUCAUCGUGUUCCAUUCC